UGUACCUGAGGAAAUCAGAGAGAUGGUGGCUCCUGUAUUAAAAAGCUUCCAAGCCGAGGUGGUGGCCCUUAGUAAGAGAAGUCAGGAGGCGGAGGCUGCUUUUCUGAGUGUUUACAAGCAAUUAAUUGAAGCACCAGGCAAAUUAUUUGUCGAAAUACUCCUCCCCGCCACCCGAAGCCACACAAGUCCUGAUUCAACAUUUUUGUUUUGAGUGACUGCUGCCAACACAGAUCUUUGGCAGAGAAUACGACAGAGCCUGAUGGCUCAGCAAGUAUUUUGAUAAGUGUGCAGCCUGGAUGUCUGUAAUUACGAAAGAAAACCGUAAAUCUUUUGGAUAUUGUUCACACAGAUGUGGCGUGAAGUGAGAAAAAAAAAGCAGUAAAACGUGUUAAAAGCAUAAUUAAUGUCAUUGUUGUGGGUGAUGAUGUGAUUUAAACCUCUCUGACUUCUGUAUUGGUGAUGGCUGAUUCCUUUAUCGCACUCGUAGAGUCACUAGGUACGGACCCAAGCUUCAGAAGGCUAACUUGUUAACUGAGUGAUUAGUUAAAAGGAAAAAAAAAAA
rnacentral:lncRNA from 10 species